rnacentral:tmRNA from 1 species
GGGGGUGUUCUGGUUUCGACUGGCUUUGCCAUGCCGUAGACUGCGGAUCAAGCGCUGACUUGUAAAACCGGCACAAAAAAAUUAAAUGCAAAGAAAGAAGACGAGUUCGUCUCUGACGAAGCAUUUGCUCUUGCUGCUUAAUCAGUUUUGAGCGGGAGACCUUGGAUUAAGUCUCUGAUCCAUUGCCUCCUUUACCGCAGGGGACUUGCCUUGGUCCAUCUCACCGUGGAUUGAGGGACACUCAGGUGAUGCUGCACUUUUACGCCUGUCUCGCUGCUGAGAAGUGAGUAAGCCAGAACCGGGACUAUAUCCGUAGACGUUUAUGGGUGGACUGUUAGGACGGGAGUUCGAGUCUCCCCACCUCCA